rnacentral:lncRNA from 1 species
UGAGCUAUGAUUGCACCACUGCACUCCAGUCUGGGCGACAGAACCAGACCAUGUCUAAAAAGAAAAAACACUCAGUGAUAAUUUCACAUUACAGUUUGAGAGGUUCCUGUUGACUUGGGGAAACUAGUUUUAGCAGACUUCAUUAAAGGAGUGUACACCUUACUACAGGAUGUAAUUUAAAAUAGAAUGUUUAAAUAAUAAAUUCACUUCUGGGUAUAUACUCAAAGCAGGAAUUCAAACAGGUAUUUGUACACCAAAGUUCGUAACAGCAUUAUUCACAGUAGCCAAAAUGUGGAAACAACCCAAAUGUCCAUUAAAGGAUGAAUAAACAAAAUGUGAUAUACAUACAAUGGAAUAUUCAGCCUUUAUUUUUCCAAUCAGAGUUUCAGGAAAAUCAACCUUUAAAAGGAGUGAAAUUCUGACAUUUGCUGCCACAUGGAUGAAUCUUGAUGAUGAUAUGCUGAGUGAUAUAUAAUCAGUCACGGAAGGACAAAUACUGCAUGAUUCAAUUUAUAUCAGAAGACUAAGGGGCCCCACGGAGAGGCCCACAUGGAGAAAACUCAAUCCCCCCUCACCCGCUAUCCCAGGCUGUCAGCCAGCACCACCUUGUCUUGCCAGCCAUGUGAGUGAGCCAUGUUGGAAGUGAAUCCUCCAGGCCCGGUAGUGCUUUGCUAAUGACUGACCGGUGUGGAUGUAUAAAAGUCCAGCUCCGUGAUCUCAGACUUCCGGCCUCCAGAACUCAGGCCCUGACAUUGUAUAAGCUUCAGGCCCCACAAAACCUGGAUCUGCCCUGCCAGGAUCAGCAUCUAGAGGAAAACUACUACUUCCACAAUAGCACAACCAAUCUGAUCAUCCCUGCAUCAGUGAGCAUUCUCCAGAGAAACAGAGCCAACAGGAUAUGUGUAUAUAUGUGAAGAAAGACUUAUUUUAAGGAGUUGGCUCAUGCAAUUAUGGAGGUGCAAGUCCAAAAUCUGUAGGGCAGGCAGAUGGGCAGACUGGAGACCCAGAGAAGAGUUGCAGUUCAAGUCCAAAGUCGGUUGGAAGAAUUCCCUCUUGCUGGGUAACACUGGGGAAGCAGGAGUAGAUGGAAAGGGGAGGUGUCAGGCUUUGCUCUACCAAGGACUUCAACUGAUUGGAUGAGGCCCAGUAACAUUAUGGAGGGAAACCUGCUUUGCUCAGAGUUUACUGAUUUAAAUAUUAAUCUCAUCCACAAAAAAAUAAAUAACCUUCACAGAAACAUUUAGAAUAUUUGACCAAAUAUCUAAGUCCCAUGGCUCAGACAACUUAACACAUAAAAUUAUCCAUCACAAUUCCAUUAUCCCAAUACAGGUCGGCAGGGCCUUGGGCAGGUGGUAACCUCAGCUCUGGAGUCUACAGCAAUACUCUCACACUUAACAGAUGUAGUUCUGUGGGUCCAGGUCCCACUUCGCAAGAGAGAAUCUGAUGGGCUAAUUUCGACCAAGUCUCCUUUCCUAGUUCAAUCACGUGUAAGGGUUAGAGAAAGGGUUGGGCUCACAAGGGACUUAGGGCUGCCUCUCUGGACUUGGGAGAGCAGGACUUCUCAAGAGAUAAAUGGUUAGAGAGUAAUAUAAUUUGGAUAUUUGUCCCCUAUAAAUCUCAUGUUGAAAUUUGAUGUUCAAUGUUGAGGGCAGGUCUGGGACCUCCCUCCCUGCUUUUGCUCCCCCUCUCGCCAUAUGGCACAACUGCUCCCUUCACCUUCUGCUAUGAAUGGAAGCUUCCUGAGGCCUUCACCAAAAGCGGAGGCUGGUACCAUGCUUCACGCACAGCCUGCAGAAUCAUGAGCCAAAUAAACUACUUUUCUUUAUAAAUCAUCCAGUUUCAGGUAUUCGCUUAUAGCAACACAAAAUGGACUAAUACAGAGAGGAAAUAUUUUGAGCACAUUGAAGGCCCCAAAAUAUUGAGCUUUUUUUUUUUAACCUAUAUAGUACUUUUCUUGCAUCUCAGUUUGCUUAUCUAUAGAAUGAGGAUUAAUAAGACCUACCAACUUCAGGGGGUCAUUCUGGUGAGAUAAGUGAAAAAAUUUGUAAAGAAGUGUAUAAAUUUACCAUUGUUUUUUAAAACUAAAAUGAUCUCUAACACUAAGUUGAUGAUCUGAUCACAAAGAUGGGGUAGAUGAAAUGAAGAGAAAAGGUUUCUGACAUUUGUAUACUUAGAAAUGUAUCCAG